rnacentral:rRNA from 1 species
UUGACGUUAGCGACAGAAGAAGCACCGGCUAACUCCGUGCCAGCAGCCGCGGUAAUACGGAGGGUGCGAGCGUUAAUCGGAAUUACUGGGCGUAAAGCGCAUGCAGGUGGUUUGUUAAGUCAGAUGUGAAAGCCCGGGGCUCAACCUCGGAAUAGCAUUUGAAACUGGCAGACUAGAGUACUGUAGAGGGGGGUAGAAUUUCAGGUGUAGCGGUGAAAUGCGUAGAGAUCUGAAGGAAUACCGGUGGCGAAGGCGGCCCCCUGGACAGAUACUGACACUCAGAUGCGAAAGCGUGGGGAGCAAACAGGAUUAGAUACCCUGGUAGUCCACGCCGUAAACGAUGUCUACUUGGAGGUUGUGGCCUUGAGCCGUGGCUUUCGGAGCUAACGCGUUAAGUAGACCGCCUGGGGAGUACGGUCGCAAGAUUAAAACUCAAAUGAAUUGACGGGGGCCCGCACAAGCGGUGGAGCAUGUGGUUUAAUUCGAUGCAACGCGAAGAACCUUACCUACUCUUGACAUCCAGAGAACUUUCCAGAGAUGGAUUGGUGCCUUCGGGAACUCUGAGACAGGUGCUGCAUGGCUGUCGUCAGCUCGUGUUGUGAAAUGUUGGGUUAAGUCCCGCAACGAGCGCAACCCUUAUCCUUGUUUGCCAGCACUUCGGGUGGGAACUCCAGGGAGACUGCCGGUGAUAAACCGGAGGAAGGUGGGGACGACGUCAAGUCAUCAUGGCCCUUACGAGUAGGGCUACACACGUGCUACAAUGGCGCAUACAGAGGGCGGCCAACUUGCGAGAGUGAGCGAAUCCCAAAAAGUGCGUCGUAGUCCGGAUCGGAGUCUGCAACUCGACUCCGUGAAGUCGGAAUCGCUAGUAAUCGUGGAUCAGAAUGCCACGGUGAAUACGUUCCCGGGCCUUGUACACACCGCCCGUCACACCAUGGGAGUGGGCUGCAAAAGAAGUAG